AUCUACAGCCAUACCACCCAGAAGGCACCCGAUCUAGUCUGAUCUCAGAAGCUAAGCAUGGUCAGGCCUGGUUAGUACUUGGAUGGGAGACUACCUGGGAAUACCCGGUGUUGUAGGCU
ensembl:rRNA 5S_rRNA 5S ribosomal RNA